AAGUCGAACGGAAAGGCCCUUCGGGGUACUCGAGUGGCGAACGGGUGAGUAACACGUGGGUGAUCUGCCCUGCACUUUGGGAUAAGCCUGGGAAACUGGGUCUAAUACCGAAUAUGACUGCGCACUUCCUGGUGUGUGGUGGAAAGCUUUUGCGGUGUGGGAUGGGCCCGCGGCCUAUCAGCUUGUUGGUGGGGUAAUGGCCUACCAAGGCGACGACGGGUAGCCGGCCUGAGAGGGUGACCGGCCACACUGGGACUGAGAUACGGCCCAGACUCCUACGGGAGGCAGCAGUGGGGAAUAUUGCACAAUGGGCGCAAGCCUGAUGCAGCGACGCCGCGUGAGGGAUGACGGCCUUCGGGUUGUAAACCUCUUUCAAUAGGGACGAAGCGCAAGUGACGGUACCUAUAGAAGAAGGACCGGCCAACUACGUGCCAGCAGCCGCGGUAAUACGUAGGGUCCGAGCGUUGUCCGGAAUUACUGGGCGUAAAGAGCUCGUAGGUGGUUUGUCGCGUUGUUCGUGAAAACUCACAACUCAAUUGUGGGCGUGCGGGCGAUACGGGCAGACUAGAGUACUGCAGGGGAGACUGGAAUUCCUGGUGUAGCGGUGGAAUGCGCAGAUAUCAGGAGGAACACCGGUGGCGAAGGCGGGUCUCUGGGCAGUAACUGACGCUGAGGAGCGAAAGCGUGGGGAGCGAACAGGAUUAGAUACCCUGGUAGUCCACGCCGUAAACGGUGGGUACUAGGUGUGGGUUCCUUCCUUGGGAUCCGUGCCGUAGCUAACGCAUUAAGUACCCCGCCUGGGGAGUACGGCCGCAAG
rnacentral:rRNA from 1 species